GGUGGACAAUAUCAAGGUCACCUUUGAUGUUUCAGCGAUACUUCCUGUCAUCAAGCGCGUGCCGAUAAGCAGCGCGUGCCACCCGCUGUGACGUGCAAAUUCAGCAUCAUGGACGGUUUCAUUCCAUUUUAAAAAUAGGAUGGCUUGGUGCUUCAGUGAAGAAGAUUCUUUCCUGCGAGUGUUUGAUCUUGGGUCCAGGGAGAAAUCCAUGAUAGUAACUGGUUUAAAGAAGGGACCGGCCAAACAUUUGCUUACGUGCAAUACAGCUACAAAUGGUUCAGAUGAACGUACCCACAGCUUAACUCAAGAGGAGUUUGACAGAUUGAAGGUUUGGUUCUACGUUUUUGAUGGAAUUUGAAUAAUUAGAAUUUGCCAGCUUAAAGCUACUUGGCUACAGAUUCCAUUGCAAAAAUCUUUGUAUCAUCAAAUUAAGUAAUCCACAAAAAGAAUGGUUUACUUUUUGCAGCUUGUA